rnacentral:rRNA from 1 species
GACGAACGCUGGCGGCGUGCUUAACACAUGCAAGUCGAGCGGUAAGGCCCUUUCGGGGGUACACGAGCGGCGAACGGGUGAGUAACACGUGGGUGACCUGCCCUCAGCUCUGGGAUAAGCCUGGGAAACCGGGUCUAAUACCGGAUAUGACUCCAUGACGCAUGUUGUGGGGUGGAAAGCCUUGUGCGGCUGAGGAUGGGCCCGCGGCCUAUCAGCUUGUUGGUGGGGUGAUGGCCUACCAAGGCGACGACGGGUAGCCGGCCUGAGAGGGCGACCGGCCACACUGGGACUGAGACACGGCCCAGACUCCUACGGGAGGCAGCAGUGGGGAAUCUUGCGCAACGGGCGAAAGCCUGACGCAGCGACGCCGCGUGAGGGAUGACGGCCUCGGUUGUAAC